GUACUCACUUCAACAGCACAUACACUAAAAUUGGAACAAUACAGAGAAGAUUUUACCAUGGCCCCUGUGCAAGGAUGACAUGCAAAUUCAUGAAGCAUUCUAUAUAUUU
ensembl:snRNA U6 U6 spliceosomal RNA